rnacentral:rRNA from 1 species
GACGAACGCUGGCGGCGUGCUUAAUACAUGCAAGUUGAACGCGAAUGUUGUGUAAAUUUUUUCGGUGAAUGAAAAGAAAAGAAAUGGGUAAAGGGGGGGGUAACACCCGUUCAGCCGACCUUAACAAGGGGGAACGACUGCGGAAACGACAUAAAAUCUCUCAAGAGACCAUAGAAGCGUAAGAUAUAGAGGUCAACGAUUUAUCGGUGAAAGAAGGGCUUGCGUCUGAGUAGCUAGGUGGAAGGGUAAACGCCUACCAAGGCGACGCUCAGCAGCCGGGGUGAGGGGAUGGCCCGCACCAUUGGAACUGGCACACGGUCCGAACUCCCACGGGAGGCCGCAGGUGGGAAUAUUGCACGAUGGGGGGAACCCUGAUGCAGCGACGCCGCGUGAGCGAAGAAGGUUUUAGAAUCGUAAAGCUCUGUCCUAUGAGAAGAUAAUGACGGUAUCAUAGGAGGAAGCCCCGGCUAACUACGUG